rfam:Schistosoma mansoni strain Puerto Rico chromosome 4, complete genome
AUCCGGCUGACGAGUCCCGAAUAGGACGAAACGUGCGUCCUGGAU